GAGUUUGAUCGUGGCUCAGGAUGAACGCUGGCGGCGUGCCUAAUACAUGCAAGUCGAGCGAACGGACGAGAAGCUUGCUUCUCUGAUGUUAGCGGCGGACGGGUGAGUAACACGUGGAUAACCUACCUAUAAGACUGGGAUAACUUCGGGAAACCGGAGCUAAUACCGGAUAAUAUUUUGAACCGCAUGGUUCAAAAGUGAAAGACGGUCUUGCUGUCACUUAUAGAUGGAUCCGCGCUGCAUUAGCUAGUUGGUAAGGUAACGGCUUACCAAGGCAACGAUGCAUAGCCGACCUGAGAGGGUGAUCGGCCACACUGGAACUGAGACACGGUCCAGACUCCUACGGGAGGCAGCAGUAGGGAAUCUUCCGCAAUGGGCGAAAAGCCUGACGGAGCAACGCCGCGUGAGUGAUGAAGGUCUUCGGAUCGUAAAACUCUGUUAUUAGGGAAGAACAUAUGUGUAAGUAACUGUGCACAUCUUGACGGUACCUAAUCAGAAAGCCACGGCUAACUACGUCG
rnacentral:rRNA from 1 species